UGGUGGGUUGCCUUGUCAGGUUAAUUCCGGUAACGAACGAGACCUCAGCCUGCUAAAUAGUCACGGUUGGCCUGCCAGCCGGCAGACUUCUUAGAGGGACUAUCGGCGACUAGCCGAUGGAAGUGUGAGGCAAUAACA
rnacentral:rRNA from 1 species